GAUGAAGAACGCAGCGAAAUGCGAUACGUAAUGUGAAUUGCAGAAUUCAGUGAAUCAUCGAAUCUUUGAACGCAUAUUGCGCUCUUUGGUAUUCCGAAGAGCAUGCUUGUUUGAGUAUCAGUAAACACCUCAACCUCUUCUUGAUUUUUCAAAAGGAGGGUGGACUUGAGCUAUCCCAACAACCUUUACCGGUCGGCGGGCGGCUUGAAAUGCAGGUGCAGCUGGACUUUUAUCUGAGCUAAAAGCAUAUCUAUUUAGUCCUCGUCAAACAGGAUUAUUACUUUUGCUGCAGCUAACAUAAAGGAUAAUUGUCCGCUUUGCUGACUGAUGCAGGAUUUUACGACACUUUAUGUGUUGUUCAACUCGAUCUCAAAUCAAGUAAGACUACCCGCUGAACUUAAGCAUAUCAAUAAGCGGAGGA
rnacentral:misc_RNA from 1 species